AGGAGGGGCCCCCGCAAUGGGGAGCUGCGAACCUGGUCAGGGGCGAAAGCCAGCAGCCAUAAGUAGUCAUCCUCAUGUGCGCCGGGUCCCUCCUCGGA
rnacentral:SRP_RNA from 1 species